GGAGUUAGCCGGUGCUUCUUCUGUGAGUGAUGUCCUUCCUGCCGGCUAUUAACCCGCAGGCCUUCUUCCUCACUGAAAGUGCUUUACAACCCGAAGGCCUUCUUCACACACGCGGCAUGGCUGGAUCAGGGUUGCCCCCAUUGUCCAAUAUUCCCCACUGCUGCCUCCCGUAGGAGUCUGGGCCGUGUCUCAGUCCCAGUGUGGCUGAUCAUCCUCUCAGACCAGCUACGGAUCGUCGCCUUGGUGAGCCGUUACCUCACCAACCAGCUAAUCCGACAUAGGCUCAUCCGAUAGCGCGAGGCCCGAAGGUCCCCCGCUUUCCCCCGUAGGGCGUAUGCGGUAUUAGCCUGGGUUUCCCCAGGUUAUCCCCCCACUACCGGGCAGGAUUCCUAUGCAUUACUCACCCGUCCGCCGCUCGCCACCAGGGAGCAAGCUCCCCGUGCUGCCGCUCGACUUGCAUGUGUUAGGCCUGCCGCCAGCGUCAUCUGAGCCAGAAUACAACUACGUGA
rnacentral:rRNA from 1 species